rnacentral:rRNA from 1 species
UACAGGGGGUGCAAACGUUGCUCGGAAUCAUUGGGCGUAAAGCGCACGUAGGCGGUUCGUUAUGUCGGAUGUGAAAGCCCUUGGCUUAACCGAGGAAGUGCAUCCGAAACUGGCGAGCUAGAGUACGAAAGAGGAUCGCGGAAUUCCCGGUGUAGAGGUGAAAUUCGUAGAUAUCGGGAGGAACACCGGUGGCGAAGGCGGCGAUCUGGGUCGAUACUGACGCUGAGGUGCGAAAAGCGUGGGGGAGCGAACAGG